GGAAUGGUGGGCUCAUUUAUAAUAUGCUUCACAUUCAGUACAGCAAUGACAGCAGCCUCUUUUGUAGCUUGAUGUUGCAACUCGCAAGACAUUGAAAUAAGCAGGAACAAUGACAAAUUAUUUUAUUUUAUUACGAGGAGGGGGAAGUCGAACUUGGUUCUCCCAGGUUCAACAAUGACAAGAGCUUUCUUGAUAGUGGCUUCAAGGUAUGCCUCGCCUCAACAAUCUUGCUUAUUUUCAUGACGACUAUUGAAGAUAUUUUAAUUGUAAUCAAGCCCACGCAAAGGAAUCAGUUGCCUCCGUCGAAAAAGCAAGGACACAACAACCUACUGGUAUGGUGGCAAAUUUUCAAUAAUUGAAUUCAACUACGGUGCGGGAAGCAACAAUUUCUGAGACGGGCAUACAACUUGCUAAUCCUCGAAAGCCAGCAGAGAAACUAAAGAAAUGCUAAGGAGAGGGAUAGGGAGAGGGUUGACAGCCGGACCUCUCCCAAGAGCAACACUAAGAUCGACCUUAUAGAGAGAAUAUGGAGUGUUGGAGUUGACCAAUUAUUUAGUGUUCUAACCACAAUCCCAAACGAAGUUUAAGAAUAGGAGGCAAAGAAAAAUUGUAACCUUCUCUAAGAAAUGUGUAUGCAUUAGCAAUGCGCCUUCUUUCAUCUCACAUUGAUUCAUCUAAA
rnacentral:misc_RNA from 1 species